rnacentral:rRNA from 1 species
UGGGGAAUUUUGGACAAUGGGCGAAAGCCUGAUCCAGCCAUUCCGCGUGCAGGAUGAAGGCCCUCGGGUUGUAAACUGCUUUUGUACGGAACGAAAAGGCUUCUUCUAAUACAGGAGGCUCAUGACGGUACCGUAAGAAUAAGCACCGGCUAACUACGUGCCAGCAGCCGCGGUAAUACGUAGGGUGCAAGCGUUAAUCGGAAUUACUGGGCGUAAAGCGUGCGCAGGCGGUGAUGUAAGACAGAUGUGAAAUCCCCGGGCUCAACCUGGGAACUGCAUUUGUGACUGCAUCGCUGGAGUACGGCAGAGGGGGAUGGAAUUCCGCGUGUAGCAGUGAAAUGCGUAGAUAUGCGGAGGAACACCGAUGACGAAGGCAAUCCCCUGGGCCUGUACUGACGCUCAUGCACGAAAGCGUGGGGAGCAAAC